UGUGCUUUUAGAGAGAAUGAUUAAGCAAUUGUUUCCUGAAUUAGAAUCCCAAAAUUGGCCUCCAACUUUGGUUCAGUCUAUUUGGAAAACUGUUUGGGAAAUAAAAACUGCUUGUCUUAGAGAAGGGGUUUUUGGACACCUUGUAAUGAGCAGCUUCUAAAUGCAUUGCCGCCCAAGAGUCACACUGCAAGGGUUGCUUUCGUUUCCCCAAAAUUCGUAUCGCCGGAAAAGAUGGCAUGUGUUGUUCAUCUUGCAGGUACGGGGAUCAUACAUUUGACCGAAGGUUACGUCUUGGUGGACCUCUGCUGAAGGAAAACAUAGCAAUAAUGGUGCUACAGAGGUGAAAUUAAUCUAAACGAAGUAGGUGUUGUAAAUGCAGAAUGGGGCUUGAUACAUCCAUUAUGGGAGUUCAGCAAGAAAGGAAGAAAAUAAAGGUUACCCUUCCCUCAAUUCUGGGUGUGUUGGACGGUAUAUGUCUUUGGUUCUCAUUUUCAGUUCUUAGCUAUUUAGAUGCUCAUAUGGAUUUGGUGGAUUGUGCUCUUGGCCAGCCGUGCAUCUUUCGGUGAAUUACCUCAUUGUUGUGGAACAGGGUUUGAGUGGGUGCAUGCUUAAUUGGCAACGUCAAGAGUGCAUCAUCGGUGCUGCCAGACGUAUGUCGGGAGGUUCUUAAACUUUUAUGGCAUUAUUGUAUGGAUUUUGAUGCCCAUGUACAUUUGUUUAUGCAGUAUGUGGAAAUUUUCAUUUCCGCCUUCUGACGAUGUUUUAGCUCGCUCUUUUAUCUAACUGAACCUGCGUUCUUCUUGAUUCUUGACAUGACAA